rnacentral:rRNA from 1 species
CACGCCGCGUGAGUGAUGAAGGUUUUCGGAUCGUAAAACUCUGUUGUCAGGGAAGAACAAGUGCCGGAGUAACUGCCGGCACCUUGACGGUACCUGACCAGAAAGCCACGGCUAACUACGUGCCAGCAGCCGCGGUAAUACGUAGGUGGCAAGCGUUGUCCGGAAUUAUUGGGCGUAAAGCGCGCGCAGGCGGUCUCUUAAGUCUGAUGUGAAAGCCCACGGCUCAACCGUGGAGGGUCAUUGGAAACUGGGGGACUUGAGUGCAGAAGAGGAAAGUGGAAUUCCACGUGUAGCGGUGAAAUGCGUAGAGAUGUGGAGGAACACCAGUGGCGAAGGCGACUUUCUGGUCUGUAACUGACGCUGA